rnacentral:tRNA from 1 species
GGCACUGUGGCCGAGUGGUUAAGGCGCUGCCCUGCUAUUGUUGCAAACAUCCGAUCGGGUUCUCCCCCGUCUUCGGGCCCUGUGGAAAGCAGUGUAAGGCAGUUCGUUCGCGAGCGCGUGUUCGAAUCACGUCGGUGUCG